UACAGAGGUCUCAAGCGUUGUUCGGAUUCAUUGGGCGUAAAGAGCUCGUAGGCGGCUUGUCGCGUCGGCUGUGAAAACCCGGGGCUCAACCCCGGGCCUGCAGUCGAUACGGGCAGGCUAGAGUCCGGAAGAGGAGAGUGGAAUUCCUGGUGUAGCGGUGAAAUGCGCAGAUAUCAGGAAGAACACCCGUGGCGAAGGCGGCUCUCUGGGACGGUACUGACGCUGAGACGCGAAAGCCAGGGGAGCAAACGGG
rnacentral:rRNA from 1 species